rnacentral:lncRNA from 1 species
UUGCUCAAGGACCAAAGCUGCCUUUGUUAAACAAAUGAAAGAUCACAAGAUUAGGAUAAUGGAAGGGGCCUGAAUUCUGCUAAAAUAUAAGCAUAGUUCCUAUAAUUCCUUACUGUUCAAGAGUCAUGUGGUCAGAGGUCACAAGAUUUGUGAAUUCCCCAAUUGCUCCUAUAGAUAAUAUCACUAUUGUAGAACUUAAGAUUGGUCUUUUGAGAUGUUUUUCAGACUUUUGCAUUCUGUCAACUGAUUGACUCUACGUAGACCCAGGACUUAUGACUCAAUCAGAAUUGUGGCCCCUACCUAGAGGCAGACUCAUUGUACAAGAACUGUUUUCCACACCCUUAUGAUUUUAUCUCCAACCAAUCAGCAGCACCCAUUCCCUAGACCCUUGAUCACCAAAUUACCCAUAAAAUCUCUAGUUCUCAGGGAGACUAAUUUGAGUAAUAAUUCCAGUACUUCUGCUUGGCUAGCUCUGCAUUAAUUAAUUAAGCUCUUUCUCUGCUUCAAUACCACAGUCUCAGUGAAUCAUUUUUGUCUAUGCAGAGAGCAGGAAGAACCCAUUGGGUGAUUGCAUAGAAAGCAAGAUGAAUUCUCCCAUUGCUUCCUGUCUAUACUGAAUAAGUUUUAGCCAGGACGAAGGAAGAGGAUUAAGGAAAUACUAACAGUGAUAUCUACUGAUACUAACCAGGCAUUGUCAAAUAAAAACUAAAUCUGCACUUAGAUAAGGAGAAAAUUUUAUUUUAAAAGAUUUUUCAAGAAGUAGAGCUGAGAAGAAAGAAGGGAUUUUGCAAUACAAGGAGGGAGACUACUGCAACAGGGAGAAGUCUUCAACAAGAUCUGCAAAUUCAAGAGUUAGGCAAAAUGGUAGGCCAAGCAUGGUGGCUCAUGCCUGUAGUCCCAGCACUUUGGGAGGCCAAGAUGGGAGGAUUGCUUGAGGAGUUCAAGACCAACCUGAGCAAUAUAGUGAGAUCCUAUCUACACACAAAAAAAAUAAUAAUUACCUGGGUGUGGUGGUACAUGCUGUAGUCCCAGCUAACUGAGCUAACUGUGGGGCUGAGGUGGGGAGGAUUGCUUGAGUCUGGGAGGUCAAGUGCAGUAAGGUAUGAUUGUACCACUGAACUCCAGCCUGGGGGACAGAGUCAGAGACUUGGCUAGAAGGAAUCUGGGGUAGGACAGAGAAAUGAAAGAGUGAGAUGGCUAAUCUGAUAGUAGUAGGUCAGAGACUGCCUGCCCCUGGAGCCAGCCUAUUUUCAGGAGGGGCUGUUAAGAGGGAGUUAUAUGCUAGCUCAGGUUGAGGAUGGAUCAAAUUUUGGGAUUUAGGGGAAGGAGAUAAUUUUAACCAAAGUUUGAUUAACAAGCACUUUGUUCAGAUUUAGAUUCCAUGGGCACAAGCAGUUCAGCUAGUCAGUUAGGAAUUUAGAGGAUCUUUGUCUGGCCUUGUCAAAGGUGAAGGAAACUAAAUAUUUCACCUGAAAAUAUUUCUCCUGGGUAUGAUGAAUAUUUUAAAUUAAAGGCCCUUAAAGAUCAACAGAGAUCUAGACGAGUCUUUUUCCCCUAUGUACAUAAAGACCCCACAGAUCCACUAAGGAGAACAAUUAUUUUUCUUUUCUCUCCCUGUUACCUCAUUACCCACUGGGGGAAAAAAAAUGAUGAAGAUGCAGAGUAAAAAGGAAAAAAAAAAAA